CUUCACACAACAGAUUCUACUGGCAAAUAUGUUAUUCUUGAGGAGAUGGAUUAGCAGGAUAUCUGAAACCUUCAUAGCAACAUCUUCAAAUUACCUCUUGAUGCUUCCAUUGGAUUUGUGAUGUGAAGGUGCUUUCCAAGUUUAUUAGACUGGAGGAAACAAAUCGUCCGGCAAUGAUCAACAUUUAAGCCCAAUCAUUCAUCACUUCCAUUUUAAAAUUUUGUAAUUGAAUAUCUUGUAUUCUGUUAGUGUUUCAUUGGUA